AUGGUGGGGAGGGGAAGAGCUGGGACCCGUAGGAAAUGGAGGGCAGUGCAUUGUGUCCCACACCCUGCCUUCCUCUGCCCCUCAGCCAAAGUGAUCUAUUUCUUCUUCCUUUCUGUCCCCGGCAUCAGUGGAAAACUGGAGCUGGUUGCCAUGGAGACCAGCCACCGACUUCAGAGUGCCUGUUUAUUAAAGAUGAAAGUAAUGUAUGCCUGGCUGAUCUGAGCAGCUGUCAGAGAUUCGACUGUUAGCAGAGGAAGUCACUAAUUUCGAGGCAUAAUCACUCAUCUAAGAGAGAGAGGGCCCCCCUUCAUCUUCCGAGUGGAGCUGGGCCCUGUGGUCUCCGCCAGGCGUGCAAGAGCAGAAGAGGUGGGGCUGAGCCCCGCGGAGAGCAGCCUUGAUGGACAUUGCAUGCCCUUCGACAGUGAUAAAAUCUGAGAGUAAAUCUGAAUCCCAAGAUUCACAAUUUAGAUUCACCAAGUGCUCUCCAAAGCUGACGGAGCAAACUGGGCUGAUCACUGCUGGUCUGUAA